rnacentral:lncRNA from 1 species
UUCCUAAUAAAAACUAUGAAGAAGACAAUAUAAAUGAGAGACAAAUAUAGUUAAAAUCUAAAAAAUGCUUCGUCAAAAGAUAAUUAAACCAUGUAAUUUGAGCACUUGAGUCAUUCUAAUAAUAUAUGAAUAACAUGUAUUUUUCAAAUAAAAACUAUGACCACACUAUAAUGACAAACAAAUAACAGAAGUAACAAAAAAACAUUCUACACACCUUUAACAACUUUCACUUUUAAAAUUUAGCUGGACUCUUGUUUUCAUUCAGAGUGGAAAUUUGGCAGCCAUCACUCUCUUGAGCCUUGGUACCAUUAUCAACCGCAACAUCAAACUUGGACAUUGG